CGCGGCCUAUCAGCUAGUUGGUGAGGUAAUGGCUCACCAAGGCGACGACGGGUAGCCGGCCUGAGAGGGCGACCGGCCACACUGGGACUGAGACACGGCCCAGACUCCUACGGGAGGCAGCAGUGGGGAAUAUUGCACAAUGGGCGAAAGCCUGAUGCAGCGACGCCGCGUGAGGGAUGACGGCCUUCGGGUUGUAAACCUCUUUCAGCAGGGAAGAAGCGAAAGUGACGGUACCUGCAGAAGAAGCACCGGCUAACUACGUGCCAGCAGCCGCGGUAAUACGUAGGGUGCGAGCGUUGUCCGGAAUUAUUGGGCGUAAAGAGCUUGUAGGCGGUUUGUCGCGUCUGCAGUGAAAAUCCGAGGCUCAACCUCGGACUUGCAGUGGGUACGGGCAGACUAGAGUACGGUAGGGGAGACCUGGAAUUCCUGGUGUAGCGGUGGAAUGCGCAGAUAUCAGGAGGAACACCGAGUGGCGAAGGCAGGGUCUCUG
rnacentral:rRNA from 1 species